UUACCAGCUUGACAUGAUAGAGAUUGUGCAAACCACAGGUGCUGCAUGGCUGUCGUCAGCUCGUGUGGUGGCAUGUCGGGUUAAGUCCUUCAACGAGCGCAACCCUGUUUUAGUUGCCAGCAUAUGGGACUCUAGAAGACUGCCGUGGUUAAACGGAGGAAGGCGGGGAUGACGUCAAGUCCUCAUGGCCCUUACGCUGGGCGACACACGUAAUACAAUGGGAUACAAGGGGCAUGGUGACAGGAGCAAUCUCAAAAUCAUCUCAGUUCGGAUUGGAGUCUGCAACUCGACUCCAUGAAGGCGGAAUCGCUAGUAAUCGCGAUCAGCACGCGCGGUGAAUACGUUCCCGGGCUUUGUACACACCGCCCGUCACACCAUGGGAGCUGAUCACCGAA
rnacentral:rRNA from 1 species